GAGUUUGAUCAUGGCUCAGGAUGAACGCUAGCGGCAGGCUUAACACAUGCAAGUCGAGGGGUAGUUACUUUCGGGUAAUGAGACCGGCGCACGGGUGCGUAACGCGUAUGCAAUCUACCUUUUACAGGGGAAUAGCCCAGAGAAAUUUGGAUUAAUGCCCCAUGGUAUUAUAGAGUGGCAUCACUUUAUAAUUAAAGUUCCAACGGUAAAAGAUGAGCAUGCGUCCCAUUAGUUAGUUGGUAAGGUGACGGCUUACCAAGACGAUGAUGGGUAGGGGUCCUGAGAGGGAGAUCCCCCACACUGGUACUGAGACACGGACCAGACUCCUACGGGGGGCAGCAGUGAGGAAUAUUGGACAAUGGGCGCAAGCCUGAUCCAGCCAUGCCGCGUGCAGGAAGAAGCAUCUAUGGUGUGUAAACUGCUUUUAUACAGGAAGAAACACUCCCUCGUGAGGGAGCUUGACGGUACUGUAAGAAUAAGGACCGGCUAACUCCGUGCCAGCAGCCGCGGUAAUACGGAGGGUCCAAGCGUUAUC
rnacentral:rRNA from 1 species